ensembl:miRNA
CUUCGCAGGGAGGUGUCAUUCAUGUGGACUAAAUCAUGAACGUCACCUUCUUGAGAAG